CUCCCUACCAGACCUUGCCGCCGCCGGCCUCCCCUCCUCUCCGCUUCCCUCCCACCUCAGGCGGAGCCCCCACCUAUCCAUCUCUCUCUAGCGACCCCUCUCUCUCCCCCAGGACUCAUCUUCGCCACUAGGGUUUGCGGUGGCUUUGCCCCAUGCUCGCCAUGGCUCUCCAGCAACCAGGACAACGAUGAUGUCGACGGGAUCCUACGGGCGCGUCCUCCUGCAGCCACUGGCGAACCUACCAUCCUCUAGGGUUUGAGCCACCGCGUCGCCGACGUGGCUCCGACGUUGUUCCGAUCCGUCAUCGCUCGAGGAACGAAAGGCCAUGGACGGGAUGGCCACUUCCUCCCCUGCUCCGACGCCAUGGAGGCCACCUUCUCGCUGCAGCGUCUCUUGCUGUCGAGUCUCUCUGUGGUGGUCUGGUGGCUGUGAUCUCUACCCGCCCCAAUGGAUUGGCCAGCGUUGGCGACUUGGCGUACACAAUGGAGGUGCUGCUGUUCUGCUACGCCAACCUCAUCCUACAGCCCUCCGUCGCCCCACUAGCAAGCUGCAAGGUUAUCAUCAGGAAUAAACAACUUAUAGUUAGCUGAACAAGUGUAGUUUUGUGUAGCAAACAGUUUCUUUGGAUGAAGCAUCUGUCCUAGUUUCGUCGGCUAUAGCGUGUGGUAAGAAAAUGUAGUGAUGGUUGAGUUCUUAUGUUUCAAUAUCUGUGAUGUGAUAUGACGAGAGCAUUUAGAUAUUGCAUUGUUGCACUCUUAACUAGACAAUUAAUAUCGUUUUUAUGUUGCUGUAGCUGUAAGUUCCAAUCCAACCUUCUGGAAAGCAAUGCAUUGGUCUUCUAAUUGUUACAACAAAGUUUGCAACAAUUCAAAAGUUGUUCAACUAGACAACUGAUCUAAGAGCUUGCUUCUCAGCAAAAUUGUUGCUACGAUGCGACGUUACAAUCAGUCGGUGUAUCCUUCUGAAUCUUGGUUGUGUGUUGGAACUUAUUUAUCCGUGGGAACGUUUGGGGAUUGCAUUGUUGCAUUCUGAAUCAUACAAUUUGUAGACGUUUAUUUAUCUGUGAGAAGGAACAUUAAGAUAUUCAUCUGCUGCAUUCUAAAUUAGACAAUGAGAAUUGUUUUAUUUUUCAGUACACCAGGUGAUGUAGCUGUAAGUUCCAGCCCGGCCUUUGCACUGGCUAUGUUUCUAGGCAUAGUCCAGUUGUUCUGUUUAAUUUGUAUGAAGUUGAAGUCCCAGUUUUUGCUUGUAAACAUCUUGCUAUUUAUUUGAUAUGACCUGGUUAUUUUUUGAACGACAUGGUCAAGGUUAUUAACAAUUAUCCGUGCUGCCAAUUCGAACAUGCACAUGAUUUUUAGGAUAUCGCAAGCUCUUGCAAACGAUUUGGUUAAUGAGUUGCAAUAAUAUACAACCAUAGAAUCCUACACCAUGUGGUGGACUUAAGUAUCUUAGUGACUUCAUUUGAUGUGUGUGUAUUUCUGUUAAUUUUAAGCUUAUGUUGCUGUGAGAAUGUACCUCACAGACCAUCUGUGUAUUUAUUGUGGACUUCUUGUAUGAGUGGGGAUUGUGGUAGUUCUGUCACAACAUUCUGUUAGCUAAAAUGAAAUCAGAAAAUGAGCUUUGUUUGUUCUUGUACUCUUUGUAUGUUCCUUUUGUUUUUUUAAUUUGAUGACAAUGAACCAAUAUAACCAGUAGCUACUGUGCAUUGCCAAGUACAACUGUUUUACUUUGUAUGGAAUCAUGUAUAGAUAUUAUUUCUUUAAGUGUUGCUGGCUAUAUUAAAAUUAUACUCUGAGGCACUGUAGCAUUAGUGUGUUGUUUCGCUUUGGGCCUUCUCUAUCUAUGUUUGUAAGUCAGGUUGUUUUUGUGGCAUCCAGGGGCACAAUGCUAGUAGGCAAGCUAGCACACAUGGAUUCGUGAACUGGCUUGGAUGUGUUCUUGGUCGUCUGGGUUGGAUGAGGACGAUGGAAACGAUGGUACACAUGUACUGGCUAUUUAUAGUGUUUUAUUUGCUGCCAUGUUUUAUGCAUGUUCUUAUACUCCAAUUACUUUUGGAGUCUGGAUAUAAUGAUGAAGUACUUUAUUUGUAUGGUCAUAGUGCUUGUCACUCCAUAUGUUAUAGUGAUUCCCUCUGUUUCCUUAUAUGUUCUUGUAGUUUGGUUGUUUUCCUGUUCAUGCAUGUUUGUACAUCUAUAUAUAGUUUUGCUGUGAAUCUGUCAUGCAUGCAUGUAUUGAAAUGCAGGAAAUGUUGAAUACAUGUUCGCUCUCAGCUGGGAUAUUGGAUUGUACAUAGUUAUGUGAUUUAUUCAUGUCUGCUUCUUAUCUUAUUAAGUGAUUAUAUUUAUGUCCAUGCUACCUGUAGGAUGGUCAAUAGCUUGUUCUGUAGUUUAUCUAUUCCUGUACAGUUUGCUUUUCCCUUCAUAUCUGACUACGUAUUGUAGAAUCUCUAAUUUAUGCCUGUAGCAUUGUUCUACUAUCUGUGUGAUGCUGAAAAAUAUGCUCUUAAUCUGUUGCUAUAUUCUCACCAAAUGCACAGUUUAUUUCCUUAGACCUACUGUUAAACAAAGGCUUAACUUGUAACAUUUUUUCUUAACAAUAAGCAUAGAAUUCCUGACUAUGUUAUAUGAUCAGCUUACUCCUGCUUGAAUAACUAUACUAAUUCCCGACUCUGUUAUAUGUAAGGAGUAAAAUAGUUUACUCAAGUGAUAUCCACUGGAUCACUAUCUUAAAUCACCUUAUUAGCAUUGUGUGCUGCUAAUAGUAUUUUAGACUUACCAUAUCCUCUCUGGCUAGGUCUUCCUCACCGGCGAUGGCAGGAGCGCAUGAUAGACUUCUAAAUGGACAAGUAUCUGCAACGUUCAGUGUCAAUGAUGAUGCUUACCAGAUAUUCUACUGUAGCCCCAUCCAUAUCAUCGACGUGAAGUCAGAUCUACUCGUCCUGAAAUUGAUGGCCUGAAGCUUGAUACACAUAUCAUGUGACACACAUUAGGAAAUUUGAAUAACAUCGACAUAGGUUCUCUGUUAUCUUGCACUGGGUUGAUACUUACCGGUUUCCCUUACAAAUAUAUUACAUAUUUUCUUUUAUGAGAAUUUUAUCUGCAUGGUUUCUUAUUAGAUCUCAAAUUCUGCAGCUAUUUUUCAUUGUUAGGAAAAUGUUAUAUGCACGGCUUCACUUGAUUAUGUUCCUAACUUUUCUGAUUUAUAACCUACAGAUGCCUUCAUUUGUCAAAAGUUGGUGUACAGGAACUCCAGGAGAAGAAUCCCAAAGAAAACAUGCACCCAGCAAUUUGUUCUAGCUCACUGGAGCAUCAUUUUGAAGUACCUAAUUUAUGGCUGAGCACCUGAUUUAUGGUUGAGUACCUGUUUUGUACUAUGCAUUAUUGUAAAGUACUUUGUUUGGCCAUUGUAUGAAAACACUA